CAGAGAUGCCUUAGUGCCUUCGGGAACCGUGAGACAGGUGCUGCAUGGCUGUCGUCAGCUCGUGUUGUGAAAUGUUGGGUUAAGUCCCGNAACGAGCGCAACCCUUAUCCUUUGUUGCCAGCGAUUCGGUCGGGAACUCAAAGGAGACUGCCGGUGAUAAACCGGAGGAAGGUGGGGAUGACGUCAAGUCAUCAUGGCCCUUACGGCCAGGGCUACACACGUGCUACAAUGGCGCAUACAAAGAGAAGCGACCUCGCGAGAGCAAGCGGACCUCAUAAAGUGCGUCGUAGUCCGGAUUGGAGUCUGCAACUCGACUCCAUGAAGUCGGAAUCGCUAGUAAUCGUAGAUCAGAAUGCUACGGUGAAUACGUUCCCGGGCCUUGUACACACCGCCCGUCACACCAUGGGAGUGGGUUGCAAAAGAAGUAGGUAGCUUAACCUUCGGGAGGGCGCUUACCACUUUGUGAUUCAUGACUGGGGUGAAGUCGUAACAAGGUAAGCGUACUACA
rnacentral:rRNA from 1 species